UCGGUCCGAUCGUUGGCCGGUCACGAUUCCGAUUCAGUCCAACCAAUUAUUAUUGUUAUUAUUAUUUUAUAGUAUCAAAACGAAAUCGUUUUGGAAGAUAUAAAAACACCUUUGAAACCCUCCCUCUUGCAAUUUGAACCGUAGAAGUUGCUGCCCCCCAACGCACCGCAAUACCCAGGUUGGGGCAGCUCCCACCGACGACCUGGAAGCCUUGCAAAACCUCCCCCCCAUCGGCCGUUACAGCGUCGCCCCCUUCCCGCGCCGUUGGAAACGCCUCCUGUCGCUAUAAAGCCCCCACUCGACUACACAACCUUCCCACUCCGACCAAUAGCUGCAAAGAGGCUACAUGGAUACAGUGCACCACAUUUGCAAAAGUUGGUCAUUCAAAUAUUGAGCCAAACUACAUCGUCUUCUGGAUGUGAGAGGAAUUGGAGUGUCUUUGAACGUAUACAUACCAAAAGAAGGAAUAGAUUGGAACAUCAAAGGCUUAAUGAUUUUAUAUACGUUCAUACAAUUUGCGGCUAAAAAAUCGGUUCUAAAACAAGAAAAGAAUCUAUGAUCCCAUUAACUAUGCAUGCAUUGAUGAGACCGAUUUUUGGAUAGUUGAUGAGGAUCAGCCAGUAAAGCUAGAUGUUGAAGAAUUGGAAAAUCUUUAAUAUGAAGAAAGGUCAAUUCCAAUAAAUGAAGUGGAAUGUUCAAGUUCUUACAUUGGUUGAUUAUGUUGUUGAUUAUCACUUCUCAAUAAAUGGAAGCAAUAGAGUCACCCUUGAAGGUGGGCAUACAGGUGUUGUUAAGAGUGUGCUUCCCAUGUCCGGCAAACAGAUUGGCACCACCCAAAGCUAAGGCAUAUUUAGAUGCAUCCCUUUUAAUUUAUUUUUUUUUCCAUAAAAUUUUUCAUUUCUUUUGA